rnacentral:lncRNA from 1 species
CUUUCUCUGUCUAUAGGAAUUGCAAUUUCUGUCCUUUCCUGCAAGACUCUGGGGGAAGACUUUAGGGAACAUCCUCCUUCUCGUGUCAACUGUGCCUCACUUCUACCAUUGAAACCACAAUUCACUAGUGGUCAGCAAUUGUCCUGCCGUUUCAUCCCUUGGGAAGAAAAGCUGGCAUUUUUCUGGCACAACGUAGAAGUGGCAUGGCCCCCCUGCAGAGUAUUGGUUCCUAAGGAAUUUUAUUAGGAGAACUCUGAAACUCCAAGGCAGUUACAUUAUUACUAAAGAGGUUUCAUGGUGUUUUAUGGAGCUUCAGCAUUUCCUCUUCCAUGAAGAGAAAAGCUCCUGGGAAGAAGAUAUUCCUCAGGUAUUCUGUGUUUUUAUGAGGCUGGGAAAGCAACUGCAUUAAAAUAAUCUCAUGAAAUAUAGAAUACAACAAAACACAUUCUCCUAUUAGCAUAUUAUUCUCUUUUCUUCCAUAGACAGCUGGUAACUUUUCAUUUCCGGACAUCUAAUACAGGGCAAACCAUAGAGAGUUGCUCUCCACUUGACACCAAAUCCCAAGCUCUGUGUAUUCUGUGUAUUCUUUCAAUUGGUAAGGAUCAGAAGUGAAGAUAUUUUCCUGAUACCACUGCUUUGUGAAAGUGACUGCUGGUAGGGGUUCUGAUUUUAAUCUGUACUGAAUAUGGUCAUGUCAUAAAUGCAAAUUACAAUAAUUUCCGCUCCUUUUUUUUUCAUUCCUAAAUCCAUAACCAUUUUUCUCAAUCUGAGAAGUAUCUGCAGUUGUUGUGGAAGAUCUUUUGCGUGUUAGAUGUUCUUUUGUAAGAACUUGAAUAGAAUUGCAGAUGAAAUUUCUAUUUUAUGCAGGACUUGCUCUGGAUGAAACAUAUAACAUUCUCUAAAAUUAUCUAAAUUUAUGUAUGUGUGUAUGCUUGUAUUCAAAUGUCUAGUGCUUCCUGGCUACAAAGUAUUUUUUCAAGGAACUAGGUCUACAACAUUAUAUAAACUUUUUUUCAAACAUUGGAACAACACACAGUAAAUUGAAAAAAACUAUUAAAGACAGGAAGUAACUGAUGUAGAAAUAAUCUGAAGUAUUUAUUGCUUUUCUGCCUACAACUAACUCUUUUAUUUUCCUCUUUGUCUUUUUUUUGUUCGAGUAAAAAAAUCAUCAGGGU